GGGGCUAUAGCUCAGUCGGUUAGAGCAGCAGACUCAUAAUCCGUUGGUCCUCGGUUCGAGCCCGAGUAGCCCCA
rnacentral:tRNA from 4 species